UUCAUAUCUUUUUCUUUUAUCAAACCUAAUUCCGCAUCCUCGACACCCAAACCCUAAAUUUCAAAUUUUUUCUUCCUCAGACGCAACAAGGAAUACUGAAAGCUAUCAAACUAUCAAAGGUUCAAUCAUCACGUCUUCGUCUCUAAUCUAUUGCAAAAGCAGGUCGAUUUCUUUUGCCAUCAAAGACCCAUAAGAAUUGACACACGAUUCUGGUCUGUCAUUCAUCUUCAAUCAAAGGUAUUUUCCAUAAUCUUUCUUUUCAAAGAUUUCAAUUUUAAUUAUUUAUCUUUUCAAAGCUUUCAAUUUUAAUUUUUUUGGUAUUUUUGUGUCCCCGAUUUGAAAAACGUAUCACUUUAUUCAUAGAUUUCCAGAUUUAAAAAUUUCUUAAACUUUUCUGAAGUACACAUCAUUACUUUUUUUAGGACACGGUAGUAUGCUUAAUAGUUUUUUUAUCUUGAUGGUUUGGGGGUAAAUUUUAUUGGGAAAUUUUGAUUAUAUUUAUACUAAAGAUGUAUCAGAAUAAAGAUAAAGAUGUCAUUCUGCAAAGCUCAUGUAUUGCAAGUGUUUUCAUGGCAACCUAUUAUUUAUAAUGACACUGUUGAUAUGGGAUGGACAACUUGAUGAUAUGUGCAUUCACAUGGCAAACUUUUGCGGUGCUCGCACUAUCCAAACUCUACCGAAACUCUGUUGGAGUUUGAGCAACAGAUAUAUCGGUAAGACCCAUUAUUGUUUCGAUCAGUUCUCACUUUUAGUUUUUAACUUGAGCAUACUAACUGUCUACUAUAAUUAUAAAUUUAGAUUGCAUAUUCUGCACCCAUAUUAUUAAGUUGCGAAGAUUUGUUUUUAGAUAUGCAUAGUAUUUUGGUUCUUUGUUAGCCCAUAUUCUUAGUGGUAGUUUCUGUGUCAGCUUAAUGAGCCGUAUGGGAUGUCUUGGGUCUCAAUAAUGAUGAAAGCAUAAAGAAUAGGCAUAUUUUUGGAUUAACUUAGGACUGACUUUUGGUUUUUGUAGCAUGUCUCAUAAUGAGUGGAAAGACAUAAAGAAUACAUAUAUUGACCGUGAUGAGUAUCUACUUGCAAUGAAGUAAUUACUCCUGUUAAAUAUGUCAUGGAGGUUUUCUACUUUUAAUAUAUGUAUUUUAGAAAUGUUUAGAGAAAAAUUUGACAAGUUUUUAUGAUUUACAAUGGAAUGUAAUAUUACCUAUUUUUGUUCU